GAUGAACGCUGGCGGCGUGCCUAAUACAUGCAAGUCGAGCGAACGGACGAGAAGCUUGCUUCUCUGAUGUUAGCGGCGGACGUGUGAGUAACACGUGGAUAACCUACCUAUAAGACUGGGAUAACUUCGGGAAACCGGAGCUAAUACCGGAUAAUAUUUUGAACCGCAUGGUUCAAAAGUGAAAGACGGUCUUGCUGUCACUUAUAGAUUGAUCCGCGCUGCAUUAGCUAGUUGGUAAGGUAACGGCUUACCAAGGCAACGAUGCAUAGCCGACCUGAGAGGGUGAUCGGCCACACUGGAACUGAGACACGGUCCAGACUCCUACGGGAGGCAGCAGUAGGGAAUCUUCCGCAAUGGGCGAAAGCCUGACGGAGCAACGCCGCGUGAGUGAUGAAGGUCUUCGGAUCGUAAAACUCUGUUAUUAGGGAAGAACAUAUGUGUAAGUAACUGUGCACAUCUUGACGGUACCUAAUCAGAAAGCCACGGCUAACUACGUG
rnacentral:rRNA from 1 species